rnacentral:rRNA from 1 species
UACGUAGGGGGCAAGCGUUGUCCGGAUUUAUUGGGCGUAAAGAGCGUGUAGGCGGCCAGAUAGGUCAGCUGUGAAAACUCGAGGCUCAACCUCGAGAUGUCGGCUGAAACCAUCUGGCUAGAGUCCGGAAGAGGAGAAUGGAAUUCCCGGUGUAGCGGUGAAAUGCGCAGAUAUCAGGAAGAACACCUAUGGCGAAAGCAGCUCUCUGGGACGGUACUGACGCUGAGACGCGAAAGCGUGGGGAGCGAACAGG